UACAGAGGUCUCAAGCGUUGUCCGGAUUUACUGGGCGUAAAGAGCGUGUAGGCGGCCAAGCAGGUCCGUUGUGAAAACUGGAGGCUUAACCUCCAGACGUCGACGGAAACCGCGUGGCUAGAGUUCGGGAGAGGUGAGUGGAACUGCGAGUGUAGAGGUGAAAUUCGUAGAUAUUCGCAAGAACACCAGUGGCGAAGGCGGCUCACUGGCCCGAUACUGACGCUGAGGCACGAAAGCGUGGGGAGCAAACAGG
rnacentral:rRNA from 1 species